AGCAGCCGCGGUAAUUCCAGCUCCAAUAGCGUAUAUUAAAGUUGUUGCAGUUAAAAAGCUCGUAGUUGAAUUUCGGGGUUAGUAGGUUGGUCAUGCCUCCGGUAUGUACUGGUCUCACUGAUUCCUCCUUCCUGAUGAACCGUAGUGCCAUUAAUUUGGUGUUGCGGGGAGACUGGACUGUUACUUUGAAAAAAUUAGAGUGUUUAAAGCAGGCUAACGCUUGAAUACAUUAGCAUGGAAUAAUGAAAUAGGACGUUCGGUCUUAUUUUGUUGGUUUCUAAGAUUUGACGUAAUGAUUAAUAGGGAUAGUUGGGGGCAUUAGUAUUCAAUUGUCAGAGGUGAAAUUCUUGGAUUUAUUGAAGACUAACUACUGCGAAAGCAUUUGCCAAGGAUGUUUUCAUUAAUCAAGACGAAAGUUAGGGGAUCGAAGACGAUCAGAUACCGUCGUAGUCUUAACCAUUAACUAUGCCGACUAGGGAUCGGAUGAUGUUAAUUUUUAAUGUACUCAUUCGGCGCCUUG
rnacentral:rRNA from 1 species